rnacentral:lncRNA from 1 species
UUGACUUUCAUUAUUUUGAUUUAGUUUUUUUUUAUUGGAGGAGUAGGACACAUAGUAUGUGAAAUUUGAAGAAGAGUAUUUGACUUUCAUUAUUUUGAUUUAGUUUUUUUUAUUGGAGGAGUAGGACUAUGUUACUAUUGAUAGAUUUCACUGCCAUAAGACAUAAGACGUAUCAAUAGUUUUCUAUUCUAAAUAGAAAGAAAGUAAAAUUUGUCUAAAUACUAGACAUAAGGAAGCGGGGGAUAAAUGCGUGGAAGAAAAAAUCCUAGAAGGGAUUAUUUGUCUUCCCAGUCUUCGA